AACAACACCUAAACCCAAGAGGGCAGCUGUUGCAGCAUCCAGUUCAUCUUAAGAAUGUCAACGAUUAGUCAUGCAAUAAAUGUUCUGGUUUUAAAAAAUACAUAUCUGGUUUUGGUCUCAGCUUCAGAACAUUCACUUAUAAAGAAACCCUGCUGAUUAAAUCUCUCUUGGGCUUCCUCCCGAAAUGAGUUUGGAUCAUAAUACAAGAGAAGCACAGGGCAAAGACACUGCAUAACCUCAAGAACUAAGAAUGGAAGGACUGGCCAGGCCUGGUGGUGCACACCUGUAAUCCCAGCUACUCAGGAGGCUGAGGCGAGAGAAUCGCUUGAGCCUGGGGGGCAGAGGUUGCAGUGAGCUGAGAGAACGGCGGGCGGCAGAGCGAGACUCCAUCUCAAAAAAAAAAAAGGAUAAAGGAAGGACUUAAGCAAAAUCUUC
rnacentral:lncRNA from 1 species